rnacentral:rRNA from 1 species
ACGGCCAUACCAUGCUGAAUAUACCGGUUCUCGUUAGAUCACCGAAGUCAAGCAUCAUUGUGCGCGAUCAGUACUUGAUUGGGUGACCACCUGGGAACACCGCGUGCCGUU